rnacentral:rRNA from 1 species
UUGACCUCGGAUCAGGUAGGGAUACCCGCUGAACUUAAGCAUAUCAAUAAGCGGAGGAAAAGAAACCAACAGGGAUUGCCCCAGUAACGGCGAGUGAAGCGGCAAGAGCUCAAAUUUGAAAGCUGGCUCCUUCGGGGUCCGCAUUGUAAUUUGUAGAGGAUGCUUCGGGAGCGGUCCCCAUCUAAGUGCCCUGGAACGGGACGUCAUAGAGGGUGAGAAUCCCGUAUGGGAUGGGGUGUCCGCGCCCGUGUGAAGCUCCUUCGACGAGUCGAGUUGUUUGGGAAUGCAGCUCUAAAUGGGUGGUAAAUUUCAUCUAAAGCUAAAUAUUGGCCGGAGACCGAUAGCGCACAAGUAGAGUGAUCGAAAGAUGAAAAGCACUUUGAAAAGAGAGUUAAAAAGCACGUGAAAUUGUUGAAAGGGAAGCGCUUGCGACCAGACUCGCUCGCGGGGUUCAGCCGGCAUUCGUGCCGGUGUACUUCCCCGCGGGCGGGCCAGCGUCGGUUUGGGCGGUCGGUCAAAGGCCCUCGGAAGGUAACGCCCCUAGGGGCGUCUUAUAGCCGAGGGUGCAAUGCGACCUGCCUAGACCGAGGAACGCGCUUCGGCUCGGACGCUGGCAUAAU